UAAAUUGAGGCCAAAUGAUAGGCGCUUAGCUGUUAACUAAGAGGAAGUGAGAUAAAAACUCACCAAUUUAG
rnacentral:tRNA from 1 species